rnacentral:rRNA from 1 species
ACAAACUUUAUCAUAAAGUUUGACCUCAAAUCAGGUAGGAUUACCCGCUGAACUUAAGCAUAUCAAUAAGCGGAGGAAAAGAAACCAACAGGGAUUGCCUUAGUAGCGGCGAGUGAAGCGGCAAGAGCUCAAAUUUGAAAUCUGGUACCUUCGGUGCCCGAGUUGUAAUUUGAAGAAAACAAUCUUGGGGUUGGCCUUUGUCUAUGUUCCUUGGAACAGGACGUCAUAGAGGGUGAGAAUCCCGUCUGAUGAGGUGUCCAAUCCUAUGUAAGAUGUUUUCGAAGAGUCGAGUUGUUUGGGAAUGCAGCUCUAAGUGGGUGGUAAAUUCCAUCUAAAGCUAAAUAUUGGCGAGAGACCGAUAGCGAACAAGUACUGUGAAGGAAAGAUGAAAAGAACUUUGAAAAGAGAGUGAAAAAGUACGUGAAAUUGUUGAAAGGGAAGGGUAUUUGAUCAGACUUGGUAUUUAGGUAUCAUAUCUCCUUGUGGGGUGUGCUCUAUCUUUUUACUGGGCCAGCAUCAGUUUUGGUGGUAAGAUAAUGACUGUUGAAUGUAGCUCUUUUGAGUGUUAUAGCCUCAGUUGAUAUUACCUACCGGGACUGAGGUCUGCGGCUUUGCCUAGGAUGCCUGGCGUAA